rnacentral:rRNA from 1 species
GGGGACCGCGGGGAGAGCGCGGAAGGACCCCCGGACGGCAGGG